UUAUUGGUUCGGUGCGACCGGAUGAUGGUCCUCAACGACCGUUUUCAAUUUACACUGGUCGGUGGGACUUUCGUCCGUUUGUAACGCCAUGUCUCAACGA
rnacentral:pre_miRNA from 1 species